rnacentral:rRNA from 1 species
AUUGAACGCUGGCGGCAUGCUUUACACAUGCAAGUCGAACGGUAACAGGUCUUCCGAUGCUGACGAGUGGCGAACGGGUGAGUAAUACAUCGGAACGUGCCUAGUAGUGGGGGAUAACUACUCGAAAGAGUAGCUAAUACCGCAUGAGAUCUACGGAUGAAAGCAGGGGACCUUCGGGCCUUGUGCUACUAGAGCGGCUGAUGGCAGAUUAGGUAGUUGGUGGGGUAAAGGCUUACCAAGCCUGCGAUCUGUAGCUGGUCUGAGAGGACGACCAGCCACACUGGGACUGAGACACGGCCCAGACUCCUACGGGAGGCAGCAGUGGGGAAUUUUGGACAAUGGGCGAAAGCCUGAUCCAGCAAUGCCGCGUGCAGGAUGAAGGCCCUCGGGUUGUAAACUGCUUUUGUACGGAACGAAAAGCCUGGGGCUAAUAUCCCCGGGUCAUGACGGUACCGUAAGAAUAAGCACCGGCUAACUACGUG